rnacentral:rRNA from 1 species
AUUGAACGCUGCGGCAGGCCUAACACAUGCAAGUAGAGCGAGCGGCGGACGGGUGAGUAAUUCUUAGGAAUCUGCCUAUUAGCGGGGGACAACAUAACGAAAGGGAUGCUAAUCCCGCAUAAUAAUAGAUGCGCCUUAGUCGGAUUAGCUAGUUGGUGGGGUAAAGGCUUACCAAGGCGACGAUCCGGAGCGGGUCUGAGAGGCGGAUCCGCCACACUGGGACUGAGACACGGCCCAGAAUCCUACGGGAGGCAGCAGUGGGGAAUAUGUGACAAUGGGGGGAAGCCUGAUCCAGCCAUGCCGCGUGUGUGAAGAAGGCCUUAUGGUUGGAAAGCACUGGAAGCGAGGAAGCGUUACUCACAGAAUAAGCACCGGCUAACUCUGUGCCAGCAGCCGCGGUAAUUC